GAUGGGUCGCAAACCAAAUUGCUAGGUCUCUGAACGCGUCGGCGAAGACGGUUCGUCGAUCCGUCGAGUGGGUGCGGAGUUAUCGCCAAGAAGACCUUCGGAGCUUCGUUCUCGCCUAGAAGGCCAACGAGGCGUCGAGACGUCGGCGAAUCGCAAUCGAAGAGUCACGGCAUCACCACGAGGUGGGGGAGUGCCAUCCCGAAGCAGUCGGGCUACUCUUUAUGUCUGAGUACUAAUAUCGACCAUUUGCAUAUUGUGAUAUAGUAUUAUAGGGUGUUACAUGUGACUGUGCAUAUCCUUGCAUGCUAGUGAUGUAUAGGUCGUGGAUACCAUGAAUGAAAACCUAGUAUGCAUGAGUUAAAUACUAUGAGAUAGUCGCCCUAUAUAUGAUGAAUAUGUUUAUGUGAAUAUGAACCUAGUGUAUUGGAAACUAGUGUAUCAAGAACUUGUCAAGAGAACGAGUGGCAUCUAGUUAACCCUAAACAUUGAACGAGUGGCAUUAAGUAGUGCAAGAGUGGCAUGAGAACACUAGUAUAGUUGAGAUACUAUGUUGCUAUCACCCCUGGUUGAGUAGGGUGUUCCCAGUUCAUGAGAUUGGAUCGAGCUCACUUAGCCUGUCUGCACCUGUGGAGGUAGCUCCUCACAGGUAGUGCACUCCGGAGUUUGGCACGCGAGGGGGCCAGUGUAGUGCCCUUGGACCAGUGUAGUGUCCGCAGGCGGUCUCGGGGUAGGUGAAUAGCUAGCCACCUCCCCUAUGAGACUUAGAGACGUGAGACUGUGAGCGAACCUUGCGUUCGCCGAGAGAUUGGGUAAUCAGAUGAGUGACCUUGUUGUUGAACAUGGUAGUAUGAUAGUCAGCUUCCUUGCUAUGAGUUCCAUGCAUGCAUUACACUGGAUUGAGGCAUUGAUAGAUUAUAGUUGCUCAUUACUUUUACUGCUUUCAGUCUUACAUAUCUAUCUAUCUGCAUAUCUAUCUGUGCCUGCUUAAGACCUAGUGGGGAGAUCGGCGGAGUCGGCGGCCGAACCCACUGGGAACUAUUCGUAGUUCUCACUCCACCACAUUGCAGGUCCGAGCUCGAGCGUCCCGGGAGAGGAUCGCGGUAAGGGCGUAGCGCCCUAGUGGUUCAUGUUCUAGCUAGCUCUCCUCCCUUUUUGCAUUAGCCCUACCCUGCACUUAUGUUUGAGCGUAGAUGAUGUAUAGGGUGAGGUUGAGAGGAUUGUGUAUACAUUGUAUAGUUUUG
rnacentral:lncRNA from 1 species